UACGUAGGGGGCAAGCGUUGUCCGGAAUCAUUGGGCGUAAAGCGCGUGUAGGCGGCCCGAUAAGUCCGCUGUGAAAGUCCAGGGCUCAACCCUGGAAAGCCGGUGGAUACUGUCGAGCUAGAGUCCGGAAGAGGCGAGUGGAAUUCCUGGUGUAGCGGUGAAAUGCGCAGAUAUCAGGAGGAACACCAAUUGCGAAGGCAGCUCGCUGGGACGGCACUGACGCUGAGACGCGAAAGCGUGGGGAGCAAACAGG
rnacentral:rRNA from 1 species